UACGUAGGGGGCUAGCGUUGUCCGGAAUCAUUGGGCGUAAAGGGCGCGUAGGUGGCGGGACAAGCGUGCGGUGAAAGCCUGGGGCUCAACCCCGGGUCGGCCGUGCGAACUGUUUUGCUUGAGCACUGUAGAGGCAGGCGGAAUUCCGGGUGUAGCGGUGGAAUGCGUAGAGAUCCGGAAGAACACCGGUGGCGAAGGCGGCCUGCUGGGCAGUAGCUGACACUGAGGCGCGACAGCGUGGGGAGCGAACAGG
rnacentral:rRNA from 1 species